rnacentral:misc_RNA from 1 species
AGGAGCCCCAGAUACAAACCUUGCCCCAUCUCCUCCCUCCUCAAACAAACCGGACAAAUCAAAGCCACGGGAAAAUGAAAUAAUAUCAAAUGCAUUCAAGCUAGCUGGCCUAGGUAAACUAGCUGACCUCCUUCUGAUCUCUAUUUCAGACUCAGACUCUGAUCUAUCAGACGAAUAAUCAAUCCCACCAUACUCAUCAUCAUUUAUACUACACAACUUAUCAUCCUCAAUAUAAAAUUUAACAUGUUUAAAACCCUUCUUGAACCACCUAUUAUUCAUAAUCUCCUGAACAGUAAUCCUGGUUUCGGGAUUAAUAUCAAGAAGGCGCUUUAGAAACCGAGUUAAUUCAGGUGAAAACCACCUGGGACAUCUAAAUUCACCCCUAUAAAUCUUCUUGUACAUAGCCAUAAUAUUCUGAUCAUGAAAUGGCAAAUACCCUGCCAUUAGCACAAAGAGUAUCACCCCACAUGACCAAAUGUCAACUUUGGCUGCAUCAUAACCCUUUCUUCCUAACACCUCCGGCGCCACAUAAGCCGGGGUACCACAGAAAGUAUGGAAGAGCCCAUCUUGCUUUAUCUGCUCUGAAAUGGCACUAAGACCAAAAUCAGAAACUUUGACAUUCCCAUCUUCAUCUAACAGUAUAUUUUCUGGCUUUAGGUCCCUAUGGUAAACACCCCGGGCAUGACAAAAAGCGACAGCAGAAAUUAACUGCUGGAAAUAUUUCCGAGCAACUUCUUCCUUAAGCCUGCCUUUGGCAACCUUAUUGAAGAGCUCACCGCCUUUGACAUACUCCAUGACAAAGAAGAUUUUGGCUUUGGUAGCCAUAACUUCGUAUAAUUCAACUAUAUUUGGAUGCCUAACUCUCUUGAGAAUUGAGAUCUCACGUUUUAUGUGAUCAAUAAGACCCACUUUCAAGAUCUUCUCUUUAUCAAUCACCUUAAUCGCUACGCUCUCAUUCGUCUUCACAUUUCUAGCAUGGUACACCUUAGCAAAAGUACCAUGUCCUAGUAAUUUCCCAAUCUCAUACCUGCCCAACAGAAGCCCCUGAUUUUCCUUCUUGCUCAAACUCCUCGUCGGCGCUAGGUUGCUGCUGGUACUGGUGCUGGUGUCGCCGGCGGUAGCGAUGCCGGCCAUGGAUUCAGCAAACUUUUAACCGUAUAGUUGAAUUAUUUCCUAAAAGAACCAAACUUUAUCAAAUGGGUGUUUCCAAAUUGUGAUCAAAAAGCCAAAAUACCAGAUGAGUAAUUCAAAAUUUUGCAAAAAAGAAAAGCGGUAAAAUAUCGAAAGGGUCGUUUGAAGAUUUGCGAAAAAAGGGGGAAAGGGAAGGCCAAAAAAGAUCAAUAAGAUU